rnacentral:ncRNA from 2 species
UCAGGUGAAAGCCGCGCUGGUUCCUGUCCUAUGACAGGCGAAGAGGGAAUGCGACAGGUUUGCGACCCAUAAGGGUCAAAAGCCGAAAACCGCAGCCGCCCCCGCGACCGUGACCGGAAAGGCCGCCCUCGGCCACUGGGGAAACCCGGGAAGGAGAGGGGGGCCGUUGGGGGCAACCCCUGAAUCCGCAAGCCGGGAGACCUGCCAGCGUGACGGCAAGACG